UGUUGGUCAAUGGCGCAAUCACUGUCCGCAUCCUCAAGACAGCAAUACGCCAAGAAUGCACCUGAACACAACUCCCUAUAAGACCAGCACGCACAGAAUGUACCUAAACACA